UACGUAGGGGGCAAGCGGUUGUCCGGAUUUAUUGGGCGUAAAGAGCGUGUAGGCGCCAGACAGGUCAGCUGUGAAAACUCGGAGGCUCAACCUCGAGACGUCGGUUGAAACCGUCUGGCUAGAGUCCGGAAGAGGAGAGUGGAAUUCCCGGUGUAGCGGUGAAAUGCGCAGGAUAUCGGGAAGAACACCCGUGGCGAAGGCGG
rnacentral:rRNA from 1 species